GUCCUAGGAGGGGUGGGUGUGGUUGUUUGACAGUGCGAACCCUUUUGGUGAGUUCUGAGGACCGGCAGCCACGGGCUGGGGGUGUCAGGGCCGCCUGGACCUGAUCUCACGUCCCAGGCGCCAUAUUUGGUCUUCCCAGGGGCCACAUUGGUGAUGUUCCGCUUAGUGUUUUAACAGAAGUACUAACUAUUUAUCAUGAUCCGGAAAUGUUCCCAGUAAAUGAAUGUUAUCUGUGGCUUGUAGCAGUGCUUGGAAAAAAGUACAUUCUAGGGGCGCCUGGGUGGCUCAGUCGGUUGAGCAUCCGACUUCGGCUCGGGUCAUGAUCUCACGGUUUGUGAGUUUAAGCCCCUCAUCGGGCUCUGUGCUGACAGCUCAGAGCCUGGAACCUGCUUCAGAUUCUGUGUCUCCCUCUCUCUGCCCCUCCCCCACUAGUGCUCUCCUUCUCUCUCUCUCUCUUUCACUCUCUGUCUCGCUGUCUCAAAAAUAAACAUUAAAAAUAAAUUUUUUUUAAAUUAAAAAAAAGAAAGUACGCUCUCCACUUGGAAAGAAAAUCCAGGCCAAGAAAAUGGUAUUAUCAGGUGGGGUUUGUUCUCAGUCCCUUUCCUCUGUGGAGGGGGGCUAUAGGGGUUGUGAGGGGAAUGAGGUGGGUGCAGUCAAAGGGGUCCUCAGUGUGGCCUUGGCAAUGGAGUUGAGACCUGCACUCCCUGAGUUUACUGAGGCCUUGCUUUGACUCGAGCAGAAGUCAGAAUCCAGCAGGAUAUAGAACAGUUGGUAACGAGCGCUGCUGCGGGACUGGGUGUCAGUGUCUUGCACAUUCAUGUGACAGCUGAGACAGAGGCCUGAGGUCCAGCCCUCUCUUGGCUGCCCUUGGCCCUUUGUAGGGUUUUUGUUUUAAAUAAAUGAUGUUGUCGCAGUUUAAUCGUGAACUUGGCAACAAUGUAACCACAUCUUUUUCAAGACUGAAACCAAAAAUGGUUUAAAAGGCACUAGGUGUUGUUGUCACUGGCUUUCCUUUACCUCUCCUGUUUGUUUUCUCCCUCUUUCCUGUGUCGGAUGAUGGUGUAAAUAGCUCCCUUUGUCCAGUGGAACAAAGAAAAAAACCUGAUGGAAAAGACUGAGAAAAUUCAUCAUUUGAACCAUCUGAAAGUAUCCAGUUCCGCGGCAGGAAGCACAUCUGCAGUCUGGUGUCACGACCGCCUCCGCCUGGUUCCAGAACCCCGUGUUACCCGGAACAGGAACCCCACACUCCUCUCCCCCGCCACCAGCUCCUGACAACCACUUACCAGCUUUCUGUUUCUGUUCUUUUGGCUCUUCGGGGUCGCUGAAGUGUCACCUGAACUUGAGGGUUCAGCCAGCUGGGAUUCUGAUAGGGAUUGCCUUGAAUCUGAUCAAUUCGGGAAGUAUUAACACAGGCCUUCUCCUGUGGGCUUGUCCAGCCGCAGCCCUGACGUUUGUGCAGUUUAGCGCCCCACGCGCCGGUGGCCCGAAUCGGCAUCGUCCCCGGGUCUGAGGCCUGCCUGGGGCCUUCUGUCAGCCCUGUUCUGCUGAGGCUGAAACUCCCACAGCCACUAGCGUCUGGUCUCUGCUUCGGGGCCAGUCCGGACAAGGCCUUUGAAUUGGGAUCCCAAGCGGACGGGCGGCUUUCCUUCCGCGGCGGCACAGCAGAGACCCUGUGAGUCCAAGCGCAAGGCUUUCCCCGCCCUCAUUAGCGUCUGUCCAGGGGUCAGAGCCCGCCUGCUCACAGAGACACGCCUCAGGCCAGAGAGUCACCGCCAAGGGCUCAUCAGCCGCCCCACCAGCUUGUCAGACUCAAGUGUGUCUCCGUUUGCAGGGAGCGCCUGUGUCCCCAGAGGCUCCAGUAGGGGAAACGAUGGUAAAAAGCCAUCAUUUAGGGAGACUCGAGUUUCCAAUACUCGGAGCUUAAAUUCUGACCCUCCCACUGGCUGCACGACACGAGGCUGUGGGGUUCCACUAAUGCUUUUUCUUGGCACUUUUUCUGAGGGGGACGAUCCCUUUAGCAUUUAUGAAGUUACCAGCAUUUAACGUUUUGUAUCAAUAUUUUACUACACAGGUGGAUGCAGUAGCCACAAAAUAAAGUCGUUACAAAAAUUC